rnacentral:rRNA from 1 species
GCAUAUCAAUAAGCGGAGGAAAAGAAAAUAACAAUGAUUCCCUUAGUAACGGCGAGUGAAGGGGGAAAAGCUCAAAUUUUAAAUCGGCGUAGGUUUUACCUAGUCGAGCUGUAAUUUGAAGAAGCGUUUUCUACGUCCUGGUCGGCCCAAAUCCUUUGGGAUAAGGUAUCAUGGAGGGUGAGAAUCCCGUCCGGUUGACCUCAGGAUGUUCUACGUGACGCUCUCUAAGAGUCGAGUUGUUUGGGAUUGCAGCUCAAAAUGGGAGGUAAAUUUCUCCUAAGGCUAAAUACAGGCGAGAGACCGAUAGCGAACAAGUACCGUGAGGGAAAGAUGAAAAGAACUUUGAAAAGAGAGUCAAACAGUACGUGAAAUUGUUGAAAGGGAAACGAUUGAAGCCAGUCGUACCGUCGGGAAUUCAACUUCUUAAGUGCUUGUCGUGGGUGACGUUGAGCUUCGCGGCCUUCGUCGCUUUGCGUUAUGGUACUUUUGUUGUGCACUUUUCCGUAUGGUAGGUCAAUAUCGAUUUUGAUCGUCAUAAAAUGAUCGAAGGAAUGUGGCUUCGAUCUCGUAUCGGAGUGUUAUAGCCUUUGGUAGAUGUGACGAUUGGGAUCGAGGAUUGCAACGAAUACCCUUUGGGCUAUCCGUCUGACCUCUGAAAGUCGCUCGGGUGUCGAAAGCGUGCUUAUGACAUUCUAGUGGGCGGUCAAUAGGUUAGAACGCGAUUACAUUCGUUAAGGAUGUUGACGUAAUGGCUUUAAACGAC